CCUACGGGGGCUGCAGUGGGGAAUAUUGGACAAUGGGCGAAAGCCUGAUCCAGCCAUGCCGCGUGUGUGAAGAAGGCCUUCGGGUUGUAAAGCACUUUCAGUGGGGAAGAAAGCCUUGGGGCUAAUACCCUCGAGGAAGGACAUCACCCACAGAAGAAGCACCGGCUAACUCCGUGCCAGCAGCCGCGGUAAUGCGGAGGGUGCGAGCGUUAAUCGGAAUUACUGGGCGUAAAGCGCGCGUAGGCGGUCUGAUAAGCCGGUUGUGAAAGCCCCGGGCUCAACCUGGGAACGGCAUCCGGAACUGUCAGGCUAGAGUGCAGGAGAGGAAGGUAGAAUUCCCGGUGUAGCGGUGAAAUGCGUAGAGAUCGGGAGGAAUACCAGUGGCGAAGGCGGCCUUCUGGACUGACACUGACGCUGAGGUGCGAAAGCGUGGGUAGCAAACAGGAUUAGAUACCCGUGUAGUC
rnacentral:rRNA from 1 species